UGGGGAAUAUUGCGCAAUGGGGGAAACCCUGACGCAGCAACGCCGCGUGAGUGAAGAAGGUUUUCGGAUCGUAAAACUCUGUCUUUGGGGAAGAAUGAAUGACGGUACCCAAGGAGGAAGCCCCGGCUAACUACGUGCCAGCAGCCGCGGUAAUACGUAGGGGGCUAGCGUUAUCCGGAAUUACUGGGCGUAAAGGGUGCGUAGGUGGUUUCUUAAGUCAGAGGUGAAAGGCUACGGCUCAACCGUAGUAAGCCUUUGAAACUGGGAAACUUGAGUGCAGGAGAGGAGAGUGGAAUUCCUAGUGUAGCGGUGAAAUGCGUAGAUAUUAGGAGGAACACCAGUUGCGAAGGCGGUUCUCUGGACUGUAACUGACACUGAGGCACGAAAGCGUGGGGAGCAAACAGG
rnacentral:rRNA from 1 species